ACGGGUGAGUAACACGUAAGGAACCUGCCUCAAGGAUUGGGAUAACUCCGAGAAAUCGGAGCUAAUACCGGAUAGUUCAACGGACCGCAUGGUCCGCUGAUGAAAGGCGCUCCGGCGUCACCUUGAGAUGGCCUUGCGGUGCAUUAGCUAGUUGGUGGGGUAACGGCCCACCAAGGCGACGAUGCAUAGCCGACCUGAGAGGGUGAUCGGCCACACUGGGACUGAGACACGGCCCAGACUCCUACGGGAGGCAGCAGUAGGGAAUCUUCCACAAUGGACGAAAGUCUGAUGGAGCAACGCCGCGUGAGUGAUAAAGGUUUUCGGAUCGUAAAACUCUGUUGUAAGGGAAGAACACGUACGAGAGGGAAUGCUCGUACCUUGACGGUACCUUACGAGAAAGCCACGGCUAACUACGUGCCAGCAGCCGCGGUAAUACGUAGGUGGCAAGCGUUGUCCGGAAUUAUUGGGCGUAAAGCGCGCGCAGGCGGCCUUUUAAGUCUGAUGUGAAAGCCCCCGGCUCAACCGGGGAGGGCCAUUGGAAACUGGAAGGCUUGAGUACAGAAGAGA
rnacentral:rRNA from 1 species